GGGGUUGUGGCUCAGUGGUAGAGUGCUCGCCUAGCACGUGUGAGGCUCUGGGUUCAAUCCUCAGCACCA
rnacentral:tRNA from 1 species